rnacentral:rRNA from 1 species
AGUGAACGCUGGCGGUAGGCCUAACACAUGCAAGUCGAACGGCAGCACAGGAGAGCUUGCUCUCUAGGUGGCGAGUGGCGGACGGGUGAGGAAUACAUCGGAAUCUGCCCAGUCGUGGGGGAUAACGUAGGGAAACUUACGCUAAUACCGCAUACGACCUUCGGGUGAAAGAGGGGGAUCGCAAGACCUCUCGCGAUUGGAUGAGCCGAUGUCGGAUUAGCUAGUUAGCGGGGUAAUGGCCCACCAAGGCGACGAUCCGUAGCUGGUCUGAGAGGAUGAUCAGCCACACUGGAACUGAGACACGGUCCAGACUCCUACGGGAGGCAGCAGUGGGGAAUAUUGGACAAUGGGCGCAAGCCUGAUCCAGCCAUACCGCGUGGGUGAAGAAGGCCUUCGGGUUGUAAAGCCCUUUUGUUGGGAAAGAAAUCUUUCAGGCUAAUACCCUGGGAGGAUGACGGUACCCAAAGAAUAAGCACCGGCUAACUGUGUG